GAUGAACGCUGGCGGCGUGCCUAACACAUGCAAGUCGAACGAAGCAUUUUAACUUGAUUUCUUCGGAAUGAAGGUUCUUGUGACUGAGUGGCGGACGGGUGAGUAACGCGUGGGUAACCUGCCUCAUACAGGGGGAUAACAGUUGGAAACGACUGCUAAUACCGCAUAAGCGCACAGCAUCGCAUGAUGCAGUGUGAAAAACUCCGGUGGUAUGAGAUGGACCCGCGUCUGAUUAGCUAGUUGGUGGGGUAACGGCCUACCAAGGCGACGAUCAGUAGCCGACCUGAGAGGGUGACCGGCCACAUUGGGACUGAGACACGGGCCCAAAACUCCUACGGGAGCAGCAGUGGGGAAUAUUGCACAAUGGGGGAAACCCUGAUGCAGCGACGCCGCGUGAGCGAUGAAGUAUUUCGGUAUGUAAAGCUCUAUCAGCAGGGAAGAAAAAUGACGGUACCUGACUAAGAAGCACCGGCUAAAUACGUGCC
rnacentral:rRNA from 1 species